UGAAACAGUUCCUGACUUUAAGAGAUUUACAUUUCAUUGGCGGGACAGACACAAUACAUGCAAAAAAGAUAUAUACAAGUUUAUACAAAACAACUAUUUAUAAAUUGUUCGUGAAAUAAAUACAAAGUGAUUGGGGGUAAGUAACGGCAGUUGAGGAGAUUAGGAAAGGCUUCAUCAAGGAAUUGAUAUUUGAGAUGAACAAGCUAGAAAUAAGAAAGAAUUUCAGUCAUGAAAGAGAGUCUAUGUAAUGGUAUAGAAAUGGGAGAAGAGUCUUAUGUAAAGUCUGACUGGAUUGUGUGGUACAUGAAGGAGAAUAAUAUAAAAAGGCUGGAAAAAUAAGGUCGGGCCAGGUUGUCAAAAGACUUUACAUGAUAGCAUUGCAUUGAAUGCUAUAGAUAAUGGGGAGCCAUUUGCAGUCUGGGUGAAAGACAGAUUGGAGAAGGAAAGAGAUUUCAGCAAAGGAACCAAUUAGAUGACUUGAAAUAGGCCAGGAGAAACCUAAAGAGGGCCUGAGAGGAGAGAAUGGAAUGAAUACUAGAAAUGUUGUAGAGAGAGAGUGCAUAAGACUUGGCAGCUUACUAGAUAUAUGGACUAAGGAAGAGUCAUAGGUUGAGGGUGACUUCAAGACCCUUUUCAAAUAGGGAGAAUUUGGGGUGAAAGAUAGAGUAUACCCUUAAAGGCAAAUAAGAGGCAGAGAGCAUAUAGUGGAUAAAUCCUACCUGCUGUUUCUUUUCUCUCUCUCUCUCUCUAGAUGUAAACAUCACCCAUGAGUUCUUGCAUUUCGAGUAUAUCUAUUUUGUAAUUACAUAAGGGGAAGAGAGCCAAUUUGGACAUUUUUGCUUGGGGGCUCUAAAACAAAACUUACACAUUAUGUUUGCAAUUGUUUGUUUUGUGUUAUGCCAUGUCUGGGCUGUGUGUGUGUGUGUGUGUGUGUGUGUGUGUGUUAAUGUCUAUAUUAUACACACACACACACAUACACAUGCACACGCACGCACACGGUUUCCAGUUUCAAAAGCCAUACCAAAAAGCAACAGUAGAUGGCCUGCCUCUCAUAGGAAGGGAAAUCUCAAUUUCAGCUCUGAACAAUUGAUGGAAGGACGGGAGUCUAUUAUUUCCAAGGGAAAUAGCAUUAAAAGUGUAAGAAACUGAAAAAGUCAGAGUCUUCCCUAGAACAUGAUGGGAGAAUCAAUAAUUAAAUAGGGGUUGACAUAUUUCUAGGACGUGCUAUCUUGCCAUUUCAAAGUGAUAAUGAAAGCAGUGAAAGUUUGAACAAGGAAGUAAAGUUAAGUUAAAGUUCUAGAAAUUCCUCCAUUGUAUGGGUUUCUCUGACUUUUUUUUUUUGUGUGUGUGUUUUUCAUCUUGUUGAGGGUGAAAGUGCUAAAAGGAAGAUUCUUCUGCAGACAGGAAACAUUUAUGCAGAAAUCAGAGGAUUCAGAAUCUGACUCACCAUGAGGCCUUUCUCAAAUCCUCUAAGAAGACUGAAGUCUGAAGAUCAGAAAGUUUGAAGAUUUAUCCACAAAUCAUUAAUGUCAAGAGAAUGGAAAACUGAAGAAUUUUCUUUGAACUUUGUUCUUGGGUCCAAAUCUCACACAACAAGUUUCGACCUUAAAUUGGAAUCUAAUGUCAGUAUCUUAAAAGGUCUAAUUCUUUUAAAUAAGUUCCUAAACUUAAAAGAAAAUAAGUCCAUGAACUUAAUGUUAACAAUCCGAACCAAACUAUUGAAUGCAGUUUUAAACUUUUACAUGUGAAAGAUAUUCACACUUGAUAGUUAUUAUGCUAAGUUACUUUUAAUGUUAGCUCUGUUGCCUUCAAUAGCUAUUUCAACUAUGACAUUUUGUUUAGAAGACAUUUCUUCUUUAAACAUCAGUCUCAGGCAGCAAGAGAUCAUAAUCUAAAUUAACCUUGUUUGAUUCAGGAAAAAUUAUUUUGCAAUACUACAGUUUUCAGAAUCAUUGGACAUAUAAAAUGGACCUAGGAGCAGGAAGAGAAGCUGGUGAUGAUAUACACCGCCAUAUUCUGUAUGAAUUUGAACAUUACAUUAAAUUUUUUUUUAAUUCACAAA